GGCGGUCUUCGGUAGUGGCAGCCGGGUCGCAAAGUUCGUCUUUGAGGAUCCGGCCGCUUCGAUCGACGACCGUA
rfam:Mycobacterium longobardum strain DSM 45394 contig_18, whole genome shotgun sequence.